GUGGGGAAUAUUGGACAAUGGGCGAAAGCCUGAUCCAGCCAUGCCGCGUGUGUGAAGAAGGUCUUCGGAUUGUAAAGCACUUUAAGUUGGGAGGAAGGGCAGUAAGUUAAUACCUUGCUGUUUUGACGUUACCGACAGAAUAAGCACCGGCUAACUUCGUGCCAGCAGCCGCGGUAAUACGAAGGGUGCAAGCGUUAAUCGGAAUUACUGGGCGUAAAGCGCGCGUAGGUGGUUUUGUAAGUUGGAGGUGAAAUCCCCGGGCUCAACCUGGGAACUGACUCCAAAACUGCAUGACUAGAGUACGGUAGAGGGUAGUGGAAUUUCCUGUGUAGCGGUGAAAUGCGUAGAUAUAGGAAGGAACACCAGUGGCGAAGGCGACUACCUGGACUGAUACUGACACUGAGGUGCGAAAGCGUGGGGAGCAAACAGGAUUAGAAACCCCGGUAGUCC
rnacentral:rRNA from 1 species